rnacentral:lncRNA from 10 species
CAAGGCCCCUCCAGGUGAAGGAAGAGGGAAAGGUCCUGGGGACCGUCCAUGCACCUGUGAGUGGGGCCAAGGCUUUGCCCCUAGGACACGGCGAUCCCUGCACGGCCCAGUGCAGCGAGUGGGUGACCCGUGCAGCUCCGGUUGCUUCCCAGUUACUCUUGGCCACGCACACAGCCUGAGAGCAGGAGCUCUGCGCUGGUUUCACAGCCCUGGAGCCUGGGGGAAGAACCAGUCGCCUGCAUGGGGAUGGGGAGGCGCAGGGGUGCCGGGGGCCCUUCCAGGGGGUGCGGUUCUGCCAUUCAAGGUCCAGAAAAAUGACAGAGGAAGAAGAGUUAGAACAGAUUCUGAAUCGUUCCGCCUCAGCAGGAAGGAAACCCCGUCCCUGCUCCACCACUGGCGCACCUUGAGGACCUAAUGCCGGGCACAGAGGGACAGGCGCUGCAGGACCCCGUGUAUGCGGCUCCUAGAGUUCUCAGACCCCUGGAGACAGGAAGAAGAGUGGGGGUGCCGGGGGACAGGAGUCAGCGUUUCAUGGGGACAGAGAUUCAGCUUGGGAAGAUGGAAAGUUCUGCGGACGAUGGAGGUGAUGGCUGCACAUCAGUGCGAACGUGCUCCAUGCCACCGAACUGUGCGCUUGAAGACGGCUGAGAUGGUGCAUUUUAUGUUAUGUUAGAUGAACUUUACCACAAUUUUUUAAAAAAUCAAGAAGUGAAAAUUUAGACCAUGAUCCCCAAGUGAAAGCAGAUGAAAAUCGGAGGAGGGGGCCGGGCGCAGUGGCU